ACUUGAUCAAAACUACUAUUUAAUAUAGAGGCAAACAGGCUAAGCUAAGGUUAACCAAGAGUUGUAGAAUUGAAGGAGGCUUCUUUGUCGGAUGGAUGGAAACUUAGCUGCUUUUUUGCAUGUAUAGCCAGAAUUCAUCGAUGUUCUAUCCUUGAGUGACAGAAGAGUAUGAAAUAAUCCUGGCUCAAGAACUUACAAAGAAACCUUGUUCAGCUUUGCAAAGUGUUCCUCACUGCUCUUCCUAUGUUUAAUGUAAGACAUGUAAGAUUAAUUGUCUUUGUUGGUGGAAGCGAGAUGAUGAAUUGAGAGCUGGGCUACAAAUUGGAUUUGGUGAAUUCUAAUUGCGAUGUUGUACUGUGUAAUGCACACGAUACUUUGUUGUUAUUUAGAUUUAUAAGCUCAACGCUUUGGCACAGUGACCUUCUUAUUUA